rnacentral:lncRNA from 1 species
CUUUGUAGUGAAGACUACUAUGAUGACCAGAUAUAGAAAAUGAUGUCAUUAUUGAGCUGAUUUCUUCAGAAAGUAUCUCUCUCUGAGCAAGACUGGACUGAGACAUUACCUUACUUCCAUUAUGGGAACCGUUGGAAGAGGAAUCUGAGUCAUAGGCAUCAGGGAAGGCUUUUCGUAGGAGUAGAUGUCUAUACCAAACCCUGAAGAAUGAAUAGAAAUAAGCUGUUAGAGAAGUUGGCGGAAAGUAGGGAGAUAAAGAGAAUAAGAAUAUUUACCAGGAAAACAAAAUAGAGAGCACCAAACCCCAGAGGAAAGAGACAGCAUGGAGUGUGGCUGGAGCAGAAAAGGAAGAUCAUUCUGGUGUGAAAAUUGGUUUGGUUGGGGAUCAAGCCUGGAGCACUGGAAACAAAUUAGGAUACUAAAUCAGUUCUCAGAAUCGAAGUUGAAUGUCCUAACAAUAGGAAGAGAUUGAUUGGAGACAGAUUAAGGAGAUGGAACCCGUAAAAGACAUUCCAGGUGCUGAGAAGAGUCUUGCCAACGGACUCACCUGGGCUCAUAGGAUGAAGAGACUGUGUUAAAAAGGGGACAGAAAAAUGAUGGGAUACCUUGCUUGCACCUUUCCAGGUACUUCCAGGUAAACAUUAAACAAUGGUAUGGAUAUCAGAAAAUGACACUACUGUAGAAACAAGCAGCCAAGCAUAAUAUUGGUGAAGACAGGCUUUAUUGUUGGACAAACUGGCUUUGGAAUAAUAUGACGGAUCACACUUGCUUGUCACGUAAUCUUGGGAUAAAAUUAUGU